CACCAUGAAUGCUUGAACAGCUGUGCCAGUGGCUCUGCUAUGAUAUGACAAUGAUAUGCACAUAGAAUUCCUGGCAUGGGAAGUGAAUAGAGGAACCUGGAAUAGGGUGGGAUGGGAAAAUGGGGAGAUAUGAGGGGAGAGGGAAGUGGACAGUGUCAGAUGGUAUGCAAAACGCAUGGUAUGAGGAGUGAGAAGGUGGGACCUUGGCAUGGGUCAGAGUGUUGGAGAAAUUCUCUGAAAAAUAGCAGGGUGACAGGGAGUUUGGGGAGUGGGAAGGUGGAGGCAUAGAGGGAUGCAAGGAGGUACUUUUGAAUGUGGUAAUCUCACUCUGCAGAAGGUAGGAGAUAUAUGACUUCCUCCCAGCUAAUUAGUUCAUGUUGGUACAAUGCUUUAGUACCUGUACAUGUGAGUCACAAUAGAAGUGCCAAGUAUUCCCUCUCCUUAAGGCCCUACAGGCAGCUUCCCAAGUGCAGCCAAUCGAGAAAUAUUCACCACUUUCCUCUGACACCUGAGAGAAAGAAGGUAGGGCUUUUUUCUUCCAAGUUAGCUUGCAGCAGAACAAGAACAGAAGUUCUUUGUGCUCAGUGGCCUUGAGCCCCCUUCAUGAAGCUGGGGUAGUAAACACUCACUGACAAUAGAAAUGAAUGUUAUAAUCAUAUCAGUACUGUGAACCAUAACUUGUUGAUGAACUUGUGGAGAGUGCACCUACCAGACAGAGAAUGUACACAGAGGAUUUGAUGCAUUAAAUGUCAACUACCAACAGCCUUGCAUCCUAGAAAGAAAAGUGGCUAAUUCAUUUCCAUACAUCUUGGAACAUUCAAUUAAAAUAGUGACAGCAGAAGCAAAUGCUGUUGCAAGAGGUUGCUAGAGUACCUUGUGGGAUGGGGGAGAAUUUGGGAAACACUUGGCUGACUGCAGUGUGGCUUUUGAAGCACUUAGCUUGGUAGCAGGGAAUGAAUUGAAAAUGUCAGAUGUAUUUUCCCCAAAAGGUAAUUAAAUAUAAGAUUACCUGUUCUACUAGGCUUUCACACUCACCCUGACGUUUCUCUUCUAAAGAAACUUUUAGAUUUGUUGCCAUUUCUAUCCUCUUAAAUCCUGGUCUGGACCCCACGGAGACCUUCGUUUCUAACACGUAUGGAUUGCAUUAGUAGCCUUGCCACUUUUGUGAGCUCCCAGAUUACUUCUUGAUUCCUUUUUUUUUUUUAAUGAAGGAACUUGUUUGAUUGUGUAGGAAACUGUGUUCUGCUUUCAGUUGAAGCAAACCUGGAGUAAUCUUUGAUUUGAUUAAUGGGGCUUUCACUAUUGGUAUAACAUUAAUGAGUGGUGCUACAUUCAUUUACUUGAAGGGAGUACUUUGUUUUCUUUCUAGGAGAAGAUACAAGAGCAUCAACAGGGCAGAAGUCUCUUGGUAAAGCAAAAUGCAUAAGCUGAAAUGCAAUUAAAACUCAUAGUAAAUAGUUUAAGUCAGAAAGUGAUAAUAAUAUAGAUGCUUAGUGUGUGAGACUCCCUGAUUUAGAGUUUGGUCUGUUCUGAAGACAAAGUGGAAACCCUGAAAACUGACAAUAGACUUCAGAGCUUUAAGCGCAGUAACAGCUAUAGCAAAGUGCGCUGAAAUUCUAGCAGCCUUUGUGGGUGAGGGUUUGGUCCCUCAGUCAAGACACAGGCCUGUAUAUUGCCACAUCUUAACUUUUUCUUUGCCUGGACCUUAGCAUUCAGUUGUCUUGGUUAAUCCUAUCAAUCACAGCAAAACCCUUAAUAGCUGCUAACACUUUUUCUUUCUAGGAUAUUGACACUAAUCCUGGAGAGCAGAGGGUGUGGAGGGGAAGGUAGCAAAGACAGUUUUGCAGGCAUUUGCACUUCCAACAUUCUCUGCAUUGCAAUACAGGCACAGAGCAAAAACACAGCACUGGUUUGUUUUCUGUUUUGCACAAGCACUUCAACAAUUUCUGUAAUGUAUCCCACUUCUUACUUCUACUUCUGUUACAAACAUUCACACAGUUCCUAGCACAAAAUUUAGUUUUCUCUGCUACUGACUUCUUAUCGGACCAGCGAUAGAAGUUGUACUUAACCCAAACAGACCACAGCAUGACCUUAGGCACUUUGAGAUCAGGACACAACUUUUUCUCAAAGCAGUCCUACCUAAAGUUUCAUUCCUACUCUCUCCUCCUGCCCACUCUUGCAUCUCAAUGAGCUCUGUUAAUCUCUUCACUGCCUUUCUUUCUAAAGGCUUUCCACAUCUUUCUCUCCUCUGCAGUCACCUUUUGUUUAACAGCCAUCUGCAAGGCUUUAACAGCCAUCUGACGGUGAGGAUUUUUCAACUGCUUAACCUGUUUCUCUGUAUCAACUUUCAGUUCCCACAGACAGCUGCAAGGGAAAGGCAACAUCAUGCUCAAUUUUUACAAUUUGCCCAGAACAAAUCUGCUUAAGAAUUAGCUCUCUCUAGCACCCUCAUACAGGAGAAAUUGGGGUUCUAGGUUGCAGUCCUUGAUCCUCAACCCCUAGAGAUUACCUUUGCCCACUAGCUGUAGUUCCCAACUUGAUACUGUCAAUCCAUCUCUGCUUGGCUGGCUUGCCAAUUGUUGCCCCUAGGAUUUCUUUUACCAGAGACCACCAAGCAUUGACAUGGCUUCUCAUCUGAUUUGGUAUCAAGUGAACUUUUAAUAGUAACCCCUAGGCUUAUUACAAGUACUCUUCAUUGCAAUAUGACCUGGCAAGUGUUUCCUUCAGGUGUUACAGCAGCAACCUUCAGUGGUACCAGCCUCAGAUCCUCCCCUGGGUGUGCGAGAUGUUAGUUUUUGGAUUCCUCUUUGUUUAAACAAGAAGUCCGAGGCUGCUCAUGUCUCCCCAGGGUGGCAACAGAACACACGCAAGAGCAUCAACACGGUAGAAGUCCCUUGUAUAGUGUACUGUGCUUUGUGAAAGCUGGCUGGUUAUUGCUUAACUCUGUCACUGUCCAGGGAGAAAGCCCUAGCCAGUGACACAUGGUGCCUUCCAUGACUGUUACUGGGAAGGACAAUUCUGUAUUUUUCUUGAAGCUAUUACUGCAGCUCCUGCAGUUGAUGAAGGAAGGAACCUGUGGAGAUCCUAUUUAGAGGCAUUGACUUACAUCGGUAGCUGUCUGUGUUCCAGAGUUCUCCAAGAAACCUGGACUAAUUGCAGGAGUGACUGCUUUGUCUUGAGGAUGUGCAGGUGCUGGUGAGUUGAAAAGAAAAGUGAUUACUGGCAAAAACAAAGACAAGAGGAAGAAAACAAAACAUCUACAUCCAAACCUGUGCACCUGCUAAAUGUCUCCUGUGAGUAGCGUCAAAUCUUACCAGAAGCACUGGAAUACUGCAAUCCCAUAUACGAAAGCUAAGCAAGUGCUUAAGUGCUCCACCAAAUACGAAUGGAUUUAAGCUCAUGCUUAACAUUUAGUGUAAAUUCUUUGGCUGAAUUAUGGCCAGGGAUACUCAGCUUCCCAGAUGAGGUCCUUAACGUUUUGGAAAGGCAAUCCCAUGCUUUGGCACUUCGCAGUUGUGUUUAAUUGAUGGAUGAACAUGACAAAGGAUACCAUGUAUAGUACACAGUAAGGUUUAACUGAACUUUUCUAAGUUCAGUUGUAUGAAGUUAGGUUACAAAGGCCACAAACAGGUGUUCAUUUCCUAGAAAGGAUAUCAGGAGAGAGAGCAGUGGAGGUAGUCAGCCUGUACCUACCACCUCUCUCCUGUUCCUCAUGCCUUCCCAAAACUGGGUGAUCCUGGUCCAGGGUAGGCUUGGGAAGCAACAGCUAAUCUAGUCCUCUCAUUCCUAGAAAGACUGGGUGAUCCUGGUCUUGGGGAGCAGUGGCUAAUCCAGUUUUCCCAUUUUUGGGAAGAAUAGUGUGGCAAGGAAAGACUCCCUGUGUUUUCCCCAGACUGGGACCACCCAGAUUUGGGAAUGGGUACUCCCCUCCCCUCCUCUCCCCUCCUGUAGACCUGUCUGGGUUGGGACUAGAGCAGCAGGGCCAAGUUCCUACCUGCUUCUCUUCUCAGCUCCUAGUGGCCAGGAGCUAAGAUAAAUGAGCAGCACAGCAAACCCCUUGUCCACUCCUCAGACCAGGGACCCAGAUUGGGGAAGCAGGGAUCAGCCGCUUGAGGAAGGUAGGGAGGCUUUUCCCUGUUGCUCCAGCCCCUUCCUGGACCAGCCCAGGUUGGGGGUCUAGAGCAAACAGUGCAAUGUUCCCUGACCCUUCUCUUGACCGGGCAGUGUCUGGUUUGGGAAAGUGUGGGGAGCAUUGCCCCACUUUUUCACUCACCUCCCAGACCAGAGCAGGAGGGGAGCACACAAAUGUUUGCUCCUGUAAGAGGGUUUCUCUUGCAAGGGAGAAUUUCUGGGUUUCCUCUGGGAGAAAUUAAAUGAAUGUUUGAACACUCAUAGUUUCUACUGGGGGAGUGAGAAAAUGUAAUGUCUGUAUGUGGCCAAAGUCUACUGCUUACAUUGAAUUCUGAAGCAGGAAAGAAUCUAGUUGUUGUUUUAAAGCCCAUUUCAUUUUUGGAAAUGCAAGUACUUAACUUGGUUUUUCUUCCUAUUUCCCCUCUUACAACAUUAAGAAAUGAAGCUUUGUUAUAUGUAUAAUUCUGCACAGUUGAAACUGUUAGCAUAAAUUGAUAUCAGGCAAAGGAAAUUGCCAUGUUCUUUGUGAAAAAUAAUCUAUUCUUCAUCAGUUCCAAUGGUUACCACCCUGUUCUACCAACUGAAUACCUAAGAUCUCCCUCACCCUCCAUAAAUAAAGUAUCCCAUAUCCUUUCCAUUCUAAAAAAACAAAACAAAACAAAACAAAAAAACCCUGUGUUUUACAAACCAUUGGCUUCUUAAUUCUGGCAAAAGAUCCCUUCUGGAGGAGACUGUCCAAAAAACUGAUCCUCUUGCUCUGAGCUAGGUUCCAAUUAGUAAAAAGAACAGUGCCAGACCAAUGCCAAGAGCAUUAUUGCAUGGAUAAAUGUGUGCACAAAUUAAGUCAUUUAAGCACAUACAAUAUAGCACAUAAAAAAUCACAAUUUUCUUUUGCUGUACGUGUUUCCAAAUGCAAAUGAGCUGUGUGCAGGUAAAUAUAUAUGCAGAAUCUCAGAAAUCUGGGCCUCGCUAGUUAAGACCUCAAGUAGAUAUGAAAGUUACCUUCACACAGCUGCCUAUUUAAUAGUGGGUAAGUGUUAUGUUAUAUAAUAGCCUUCCUGGGGCAGAGACCUGGAGUGCAAUUGCCAUCAUGCUGAAGUCUCUCUGCAAGUAUUCCUAUUGAUUUCAAUGGGGUCAGCAUUUCACCUUUUCAUUUGUCUCUCAAAUGCCAUGUGCACUUCUGGCAAUUCAUUAAAUGGUAAAUGAUUGUAUCACUUGGUGAAGAAGACUUUCUGAAUGGUCCUUUUAAUUCUGUGGAAGCCAUUUAAGUGACUUUGACUUUAAAAUAUCUAACAGACCUUUUCACAUGACAACUGGAGUAUUCCGGGAAAGUGCAUGGCUUCAGAAUGAUUAAUGAAGAAUCAACUUUCAGUGGUAGCUAAAUUAAUUUCUUUAUCAAAGAAAUUACUUUUUGCUACUAGCUAAAAGUGGGUUGACCUUCCAAUCACGUUACACGUACUAAAAGAAGUAGCACCAACUGAUGUCUGAACAGUUCCUAUCUGCAAGAUCCAGUAAAGGUAUUGCACUGUCUUACACUUGUGCCCGAAAGCUUGCAAAAAACUUUUUUCCAAGUACUCAGUUGGUCUAAUAAAAGAUAUCACAUCUACCCAAAGAAGCUUGCCUGCCUAUGUCCUUAGAACAAAACGGCUACAACCAAAAACCUUACAUUGUAAAGAUAUUACUCUGUGUGUGUGGUGUAGCCAAGAACAUGUUGCUUCUCAUUCAAGUUAAAUCCAGUUGAUGAUUGCCUUUCAUUGCUCAAGUUACAAAAAGUAAUCAGAAUAAAUGCCUAUUUGUUUUAACCUAUUUUACUUUAAAAGCAGUAUUAAUCUGUAAGCAUUACUUUUUUUGCUGAAUUAAAGCUGUUUCUACCUCCUCA